rnacentral:rRNA from 1 species
UACGAAGGGUGCAAGCGUUACUCGGAAUUACUGGGCGUAAAGCGUGCGUAGGUGGUUUGUUAAGUCUGCUGUGAAAUCCCCGGGCUCAACCUGGGAAUGGCAGUGGAUACUGGCAAGCUAGAGUGCGGUAGAGGGUAGGUGGAAUUCCCGGUGUAGCGGUGAAAUGCGUAGAGAUCGGGAGGAACACCAGUGGCGAAGGCGGCUACCUGGACCAGCACUGACACUCAGGCACGAAAGCGUGGGGAGCAAACAGG